CCAGCGCAUCGGCGAAACCGGCGGCUUCGCAGGCCUGCCAGGCUUGCGCGGGGGCCUGGCCCUGUUCGGCCUGGCGGAUCAUGGCCGGAGUGCAGGUC
rnacentral:tRNA from 1 species